AAUGGGCGAAAGCCUGAUGGAGCAACGCCGCGUGAGUGAAGAAGGUUUUCGGAUCGUAAAACUCUGUUGUAAGGGAAGAACAAGUACAGUAGUAACUGGCUGUACCUUGACGGUACCUUAUUAGAAAGCCACGGCUAACUACGUGCCAGCAGCCGCGGUAAUACGUAGGUGGCAAGCGUUGUCCGGAAUUAUUGGGCGUAAAGCGCGCGCAGGCGGUCCUUUAAGUCUGAUGUGAAAGCCCACGGCUCAACCGUGGAGGGUCAUUGGAAACUGGGGGACUUGAGUGCAGAAGAGGAAAGUGGAAUUCCAAGUGUAGCGGUGAAAUGCGUAGAGAUUUGGAGGAACACCAGUGGCGAAGGCGACUUUCUGGUCUGUAACUGACGCUGAGGCGCGAAAGCGUGGGGAGCAAACAGGAUUAGAUACCCUGGUAGUCCACGCCGUAAACGAUGAGUGCUAAGUGUUAGGGGGUUUCCGCCCCUUAGUGCUGCAGCUAACGCAUUAAGCACUCCGCCUGGGGAGUACGGU
rnacentral:rRNA from 1 species